GACGGAGGAUGCAAGCGUUAUCCGGAAUUAUUGGGCGUAAAGGGUGCGUAGGCGGUUUGGUAAGUCUGAUGUGAAAUCUAUGGGCUCAACUCAUAGUCUGCAUCGGAAACUGCCGGGCUUGAGUGUGGGAGAGGUGAGUGGAAUUCCUGGUGUAGCGGUGAAAUGCGUAGAUAUCAGGAGGAACACCUGUGGUGUAGACGGCUUUCUGGACCAUAGCUGACGCUGAGACACGAAAGCGUGGGUAGCAAACAGG
rnacentral:rRNA from 1 species